UAGAGCACUGUUUGGACGAGGGGCCCCUCUCGGGUUACCGAAUUCAGACAAACUCCGAAUGCCAAUUAAUUUAACUUGGGAGUCAGAACAUGGGUGAUAAGGUCCGUGUUCGAAAGGGAAACAGCCCAGACCACCAGCUAAGGUCCCAAAAUAUAUGUUAAGUGGAAAAGGAUGUGGCGUUGCCCAGACAACUAGGAUGUUGGCUUAGAAGCAGCCAUCAUUUAAAGAGUGCGUAAUAGCUCACUAGUCGAGUGACACUGCGCCGAAAAUGUACCGGGGCUAAACAUAUUACCGAAGCUGUGGAUUGUCCUUUGGACAAUGGUAGGAGAGCGUUCUAAGGGCGUUGAAGCAUGAUCGUAAGGACAUGUGGAGCGCUUAGAAGUGAGAAUGCCGGUGUGAGUAGCGAAAGACGGGUGAGAAUCCCGUCCACCGAUUGACUAAGGUUUCCAGAGGAAGGCUCGUCCGCUCUGGGUUAGUCGGGUCCUAAGCUGAGGCCGACAGGCGUAGGCGAUGGAUAACAGGUUGAUAUUCCUGUACCACCUAUAAUCGUUUUAAUCGAUGGGGGGACGCAGUAGGAUAGGCGAAGCGUGCGAUUGGAUUGCACGUCUAAGCAGUAAGGCUGAGUAUUAGGCAAAUCCGGUACUCGUUAAGGCUGAGCUGUGAUGGGGAGAAGACAUUGUGUCUUCGAGUCGUUGAUUUCACACUGCCGAGAAAAGCCUCUAGAUAGAAAAUAGGUGCCCGUACCGCAAACCGACACAGGUAGUCAAGAUGAGAAUUCUAAGGUGAGCGAGCGAACUCUCGUUAAGGAACUCGGCAAAAUGACCCCGUAACUUCGGGAGAAGGGGUGCUCUUUAGGGUUAACGCCCAGAAGAGCCGCAGUGAAUAGGCCCAAGCGACUGUUUAUCAAAAACACAGGUCUCUGCUAAACCGUAAGGUGAUGUAUAGGGGCUGACGCCUGCCCGGUGCUGGAAGGUUAAGAGGAGUGGUUAGCUUCUGCGAAGCUACGAAUCGAAGCCCCAGUAAACGGCGGCCGUAACUAUAACGGUCCUAAGGUAGCGAAAUUCCUUGUCGGGUAAGUUCCGACCCGCACGAAAGGCGUAACGAUUUGGGCACUGUCUCAACGAGAGACUCGGUGAAAUCAUAGUACCUGUGAAGAUGCAGGUUACCCGCGACAGGACGGAAAGACCCCGUGGAGCUUUACUGUAGCCUGAUAUUGAAAUUCGGCACAGCUUGUACAGGAUAGGUAGGAGCCUUUGAAACGUGAGCGCUAGCUUACGUGGAGGCGCUGGUGGG
rnacentral:rRNA from 1 species